CCUAUACAUGCAUUAUGUACAUAUUUUUUAGAUACAAGCUAAAAAUUAAGGCUCGGUUUUCUUGCGGCGCAACUAGUUCUAGUAAUCUAGUGAUUUCUGAUAGUCGAACAGUGUAUCAUUUCAGAUUUAUUUUUUAUUCCUGAACUUCUUGAACAUGUGCAAGAAGUAUACAUUAAGAAGUGUACAUUAAAACAUUUCUAUUUCCGAAAUGACGUCAACAAUACUAUUCGUUAUUCCAGUGCAACAGAACUUCACACAGUACACGAAUUCACUGAACUGGCUGCACUGGAUUUAGAGUUAAUACAAGCAGUACAGGGCAAAUGAAUUCAAUCAAUAGUGAUAUAUGUUCCAUGAUCAUUAUUUUCAAGUCUUUAUAAUACCGAAUUCCUGCAGAUUGAAAAACAUAAUUCGAAAAAUUGUUUAACGAUCAAGACAAUAGACAAGGGACAAACAAUAGCACACAGGUUCUCCUUCUUGUAAGAAAUUGUAUCUUGAAAUUGUAUUUGUAAGAAUUAAGAUAUUUAUUAUUUAAGAAUAAUGUUAUUUAAUAAUUGUUAUUUAAGAAUUAAGAUAUUUGUUAUUUAAGAAUAAUCUCGAAGGAGAAAAGAAUAAGGAAAAGAGCUGAUACGGAAUAACGGAUAGGAGAUUCGACUGACGGACACUGACGUGUACAGACGUGUUCUUAAAUCACGAAUAAAAGACACUUUGAUAAAUCGGACUUUUGCACAAUAUUCUUUUCGCCUCCGUCUGGCAUUCCAUACCGUAUAUAUUACCCAAAAAUGUGAAGGAAAUAAUCAGA